AGAAUCAACGCUGGCGGCGUGCCUAACACAUGCAAGUCGAACGAGAAAGUGGUAGCAAUACCAUGAGUAAAGUGGCGCACGGGUGAGUAACACGUAACUAACCUACCCUGGAGUGGGGGAUAACUGAGGGAACCUUAGCUAAUACCGCAUAACACCUACGGGUCAAACGGAGCAAUUCGCUUCAGGAGGGGGUCGCGGCAGAUUAGCUAGGUUGGCGGGGUAAUGGCCCACCAAGGCAGUGAUCUGUA
rnacentral:rRNA from 1 species